rnacentral:sRNA from 1 species
GGAGGAUUCCAGAAGGAAAUUGCUUCAGCUGCAAGAAAUGGGGAACAGAGAGAGCCUCAUUAAAAUCAAUUUGGAGAGGGCAGUAGGUCAGGUAGGCGUGUUCCAGAGCCCCCCUUAUUGGCCCACGCUCCCCAAUGAUUGCACGCAAGCAGUUGGUGGGGGUGAGAGAGGAGGACGCCCAAGGUAGAAAGACAGACGUGCGUUAAUUCUCCCGUUUAUCUCAUGAGCAGAGGCUGUCUGCAGCUCCCCACCCCCGUGGACAUCGCUAAACAGGUUUCUGCUGCUGGGAGGCCUCCCACUCAAAUAGUUUACGAUGACCCGAGACCCGGACCAAGUAGCCAGUCCCGGCUCGGUGGUGUUUCUAGCAUUUUCUCCCUAAUGUUUUUAGUCCUGACAUUUACCACAGUCUUUCUUCCCCUCGGGCCCCAGCAGACAUUACAGUCAGUGUCUAUAAGGAAAUGCCACUUUUCUUAAUAAGGUAAAACCCCAGAGUGUCCAAAGUGCAUGCUGGAUGGAGAAGCUCCCAGCUGCAGGUGAGCCACUCCUACCUGGUCUGGAGGUGCCUUUUCUCUGAUGCUGUGGCCUAAAAUCACCGGUGGCCCUUCCUGUCACAUGUGACACAGUUGUGGGGGCCAGAAUGUGCAGACGAGAGUUUACCAAAAGCUAAGGGAAAGCAAACAGGAAACCAAGAUGGGAGGGCAUGUGACCCUCAGGAAUGUGGCCCCCCAGGGGCAGCCCACCCUAGAUUCCUCCACAGGGGUCCACAGAAUGGUUUGCGCACGCACGUGUGUGUGUGUGUGUAUGUGUAUUUUUAUUACUGGGAAGGAGGGCCCCCCAUGUCUCCCACUGGGUUCUCAGGACGGUCUGUGAACUACCAAGAAAGGUUAAAAGCCAGGAUCUCUCAAACCACCCAGCUCAGCCCCCAAAGCCCUUCCAUUUUCUACUAUCCAAGCCUUACCAGGCAGUGUGACCAGGCCUUUGUCCCUGCACCCUAAAAUUCAAAUAUUCACCACUGUCACUGCCAGCACCAUUUCUCCUGUGGGGGCACCAGCCCCUUAUCAAGGGCAGAGAACCUGCCCGUCUGGGCCUCUCCCUGUGCCCAUUGGCUACCCCCAAUCUUCCCCCCAACACAUACCUGAUUUGAGGGUCUGACCUGUACUCCUUGCCCAAGGGCCAAGGUUCUUGUUCCAGCUCUGAGCAGAGGUCAUCCGGGAGGAGCCCUGGAGGUCCUGAGACUGCUCCAGGUCUAGACUUGAGAGAAAGGACAAGCCCUCUCUCUGCCUCCCAGCACCUUCCCGCUCCUGUAUCUCCAAGGCCCUGCUCCCUGUCCAAUAGUCUGCCCUUCCCCAGCCAAGUGACCCCAGGCCCGAGGCCACGUCUAAGAUGACCUCUCCCUCCCAAUGGCCCUGGGCAGCCAUUCCUGUGGGGAGCCCCUGAUGGCAAUGGGGGACCAUCAUUCACAAGGCCUCCUCUACACAGUCAAUUCUUUGGGUGAGCUGGGACCCUCUGCUUGGCCAUGAAACCAGAGGAUGGCUUUGAGAACCUCAUGUCACCUGGUCUUCUCAUGGCAGGGUCACUGCAGAGAUGUCCCUAAGACAUUUCCCAUUAGAACUCCCCUGUGCAGUAAAUACCUGUGUCUUGGGCCCCAGGUUGAUGCAGUAGCCCUUUUGGUCCCUUCAAGGCUCUGCUUUGGAGCCGUUAAUAACCACAUUUUGCCAGUGAACCAGAGACUCACGCCAGGGGCUGCCAUGUUGGUAAAUUCUCAGAGAAAGUCGGGCUCCGUUUUACCUCUAACUACUAAUGGAAUCGGGACACCUUGGACCUGUCAUUCUGUAAGCCCGGACUUAAUGUAACUGCUAUUUCAUCAGCCUUAACCUGAAAACACUAGCACCCAGGAGGGGCUCAGUGAAAGCCGCUAGAAGUAGAGGCCCUUGGCUUUAGUUCAUGUUUCAGUGUACAGGCAUCCAGCAAAGGUUAGUUGGGUGUCUGAGUGUCUCCUCUACACCAGGCACUGUAGUGGGCUCCAGGGAUACCGAGAUGAACACAGUGGGCAUAGUCUUCAGGAUGCGUAUGGGCUCAGGCACGAAAUGGAGAAAGAGAGAACAUUCUCCUCUCCCCGGCAUUCCUUGCUGACUACACAAUUUACUUGGACUGACAGCCUCAAUAUUUAUUUCACAGUCUGGUGCCAACUUAGCAAUUAUGGAAGAGCGCUCCCGGCCCCAGACUUCCCAUUGGAUAAUUGGCAGCAAGAGGCUCUUCUGAGGGUUUGAGACAUGUGUGUGCACUGACCACGGGCAUCGUUCGGGUUAGGCAGGCGUGCCUAAAAAGUAAUUAAAGCCUGCUGUUCUCUUUUCUUCUGUGGGUCCCGCCACUCCCCGUGAGUGGUGAAGAUUCUGAUAACGCGGAAUGGUCAUUCAGGCGUGCAAACCCUGCUAAGUGGUUUUUCCCACACCCUGCCAUGGAAACGCUGCCCCCGCUUGCUGGCCCCCGCUGCCCUCCUGACACUGUUGCCCCCUUUCUGCUGCAGCUGGAGCACUUCAGAAGUCAAGUCAUCAAGGCCACCUACGGACGGGCAAAGCCGUUCCCGGACAAGCCCGUCACCGACCAACAGUUAAUAGAGAAAAUUACCCAGGUCACUGAGGACAACAUCAGUUUUCAGCAGAAAAAGUGGACCCUCCAGAAAGAGACCCAGCUGAGCAACUCCAAGCAGGAGGAGACCACCGAGAACAUCGAGAAGCUGAGGACGUCGCUGGACAGCUGCCAGGUGGCCCCUCCUUAUGCUUUCCACAAAUGGUCUCUUUGUCUAAUUUUUGUGCGGCUUAUUUGGGAAAUUGCCCAGCUUUUUUUGGAGCAAGUUGGGCAGAAAUGCUUGGCUUUUCUAUCCACUUUUUCCUCUUGUUGGAGAAACUUGUUGGAGAAGAAAAAACAAAGGGCCUCAAAAAAUGCCUCCCAGGAGAACUUGGCGUGUCCAAAAAAGAUGCCUGAGCAUCUUCAAUUACUGACUUUGAGCAGCCCGCAUCCCCAGCCAAAAAGAAAUUGUUUUCAUAACCCCCAUGUUAUUUCCAGAGAAACCAAAGAAACAUUCCUGCUUUUUAUUUGCAUUUUCUUUUUUUUAGCCCAGCCACAAAAGACAGUUUCCAUACCGUUGCCUUUGACUCUGGAGAAGCAGGGACGGGAGGACUUGGCCACAGCCCUGCGGGCCCCACCCUGGGACAUGGCUUAUCAGAGCAGGCGGUGGCUUCUGCUUUCUCUGGAAAUCAGCAGCUCCUGUUUGGGGAGUUUGUGCAAAUGCUGGCUUGUCAGCACUCUUUCAAAUCAGGAAACCACGCUUUCCCACCAGCCUGUGUGUUGAUCUUGGCAGGAAUUCUGACGAAUGGAAAAAAGAAGUAGCCACAUUUGCUUCUCAUUGCAGCCAAACUGUUGAUGGUACUUUGGCUUUGGGGUUUCAUAGACCUAAAAGGGGGUUUGCUUUGACCAUCAAAAGUCCAAAUUAGAGUAUAAAAAAAAACCUGUCAAAACAUAAAAAUUUUAAAAAAGAAAAAAACUGAGUCCUCCCAAGGCGGCCAAUACGUGGCGCUGCCAGCUUCGUGGCAGAGUCGAGAACGCUGUUUCUCCAAGGUCACGUCGGGGGCUAUUUCUGGCCACAGGGCCUGGGCUCCUCAUGAUCUCACCUCUUUGCAGGCUUGCAUGAAAAUGUCCUGUUGCAGCCAUGACCUGAAGAAGGAGGUCGACCUUCUUCAGCACCUCCAGGUGAGCCCACCUGUCUCGGGGCUCCAGAAGGUGGUGCUGGACGUCCUGAGGCACUCGCUGUCCUGGCUGGAGGAGGUGGAGCAGCUCCUCCGGGACCUCGGGAUCUCGCCCUCCAGCCCCAACAAAGGUUAUUGGGACUUUUUUUCUCACAUGGUUGCAUGACUCUAAAAUGUCGCGUUGAAUCUCAGCAUGAUGGGACAUCUGUUGAGGAAGUCUUCCUGGGUAUCUGGCCAAGUCUAUUCCCUUCUCCAGAACCCCCUGCUUCUCUGCUUGAGGCGUAAUUUUCCAUUAAAAAACACACACACACACACACAUACAAGUGAGACACGAUAACUGAAGAAAAAUGAAACAAAACAGAGGCAAAAGGAAAAUUAAAUCAAAAUUAUGCAAAGUCUAAUUAUGCUGUUUAACUUCCAAGGCAUUUUCCCAUGGAAAUAGCCACGUGAUUCCAGGCAAGUCACUUACCCUGUCUAUGCCUCAGUUUCCCUAUCUGUAAAAUGAGGCUAAUAGGGAGUACCCACCCUUUAGGGCUGUUGUGAUCAUUAAAAUGCAUGAAUAUAUGGAAAGUACUUGGAAUAGUACCUGGCACACAAUAGGCA